CUACUGUUGACCAGGGCCCUCUAUAGUCCACGAUAUAAGGAAUAGGGUACCAUGUCGGGAAGCACACCUCGUCCUCGUAAUCAUUAGAAAAUGCAUUAAGUUGAAUAAUGAAUGAAUCCCAGUUAAUAAUAGAGCAGCAACAGAUCAAUUUUAAAAAAAGGAGAAAAUCAAGAGGAAAAAUAAUGUUUUUAGUUUUUUUAGUUGUUUUUUUAAUGCAAAAUUGAAACAGGUAAAACAUGCCUUUUUAUCUGUUAUUAACAUUGUUCUCUGUUCUGCGUGUUCUACGGGUUCCUCGGUUCUACGGGGUAGUUCUUACAGUUCUAUAGAUGGCUAUUAGGUAAUCGACCAAUCAGGAUUUCAAAAGGCACCCUAUUCCCUAUAUAGUGCACUACUUGGGCCACAGACUCUGGUCAUAAGUAGUGCACAAUAUAGGGUACCAUUUAGGAUGCACAGGAGGUGUCACCUUUCAAAAAUAAAGUCCUAAACAGGUGAAUGCAAAUAUCUCUUUAAGACGACAUUAACCUUGUUAUCACCCUGUCCUCUCUCUCUCUCUCCAGGUCUGUUAUCACCCUGUCCUCUAUCUCUCCAGGCCUGUUAUCACCCUGUCCUCUCUCUCUCUCUCCAGGUCUGUUAUCACCCUGUCCUCUAUCUCUCCAGGCCUGUUAUCACCCUGUCCUCUAUCUCUCCAGGCCUGUUAUCACCCUGUCCUCUAUCUCUCCAGGCCUGUUAUCACCCUGUCCUCUAUCUCUCCAGGCCUGUUAUCACCCUGUCCUCUAUCUCUCCAGGCCUGUUAUCACCCUGUCCUCUAUCUCUGCAGGCCUGUUAUCACCUUGUCCUCUAUCUCUCCAGGCCUGUUAUCACCCUGUCCUCUAUCUCUCCAGGCCUGUUAUCACCCUGUCCUCUAUUUCUCCAGGCCUGUUAUCACCCUGUCCUCUAUCUCUCCAGGCCUGUUAUCACCCUGUCCUCUAUCUCUCCAGGCCCACAUAACAGGGCUAAGAAGAAGUGAUUUAAAUUGUCUUUAAACGUGCAGUAUAUAAAACAGACAUACUCCCACACCGUGCCAGCCUCCCACAUGCCACCCGAAUCCCUGCACACUUCACGACUUUAGCCGACUUUUGACGACUGACCCCCUAUAUGUCUUCUAUAGGGACUAGGGUGCCAUACCGUACGCAGACACAGAUUCAUGUUCCUAUAGGUCCGUGUUCGGCCGGGUAAGGAAAGGUAGAGUAGUGUGGUAGUAGGGUAGGAUGUCUGUACGAGACUCUGCAUUAAAACAGCAGUUUGACUUCCCGGGAACAAAAGAUCUGUCUUGUAAUAAACACAAAUCAUUGUUUUCAGAGUCUCUUGUAGCAAAGUUCUCCUGGUCCGUUAGGGCUAACUCAGCUCCUGAAUCCAGACCCUGUGGGUUGGAAUCCAGCUCCAUGAUUUCCGUACAUCCAGGGACAGUGUGGUCAUGGUUACUACAUAGUAUGUACUAUAUGUCAGUGGCUCAAGGUGAGCUAGAAAAUCCCCUUCGAGCAUUCCGGAUUGGAACCCAACGUUCUGGAUCUAGAACCCAAACAGAACUUCCGUUCAUUGUCACAUCAGCGCACCGCUGAGUCCAGUCCACCAAUCACAGAGCUUCAGAGACAGCCGGUUGGGAGACGAGGUUAGAGGGAGGAAGGUUUGAGAAGGUCAGUGACACCAUAGAGAAGAGUGGAGAGAGAGAGAGAGAGAGGGGAACCAUAGAACUACAACUCAAUUCUAACUCACAUUCUGGGGGAUUGAAUUAGAACUCAAUUCUAAAUCGAUUUCUAAGGGUUUGAAUUAGAACUCAAUUCUAAAUCGAAUUCUAAGGGAUUGAAUUAGAACUCAAUUCUAAAUCGAAUUCUAAGGGAUUGAAUUAGAACUCAAUUCUAAUUCUAAGGGAGAAUGAAUGGUUUUGUUUUCAUGUAGAAACCCAGCCGCUUGCUUUACAAACGACGUACUGUACACAUUGUGUCAAGUCUUACCUGAGAGUUGGUUAGUGUGUAACUGAAGUUAAACUCACUGAUUAUAUGGUGAGUGAUCUUUCUUUAGACUUUUAAGGUGUAGACGAUUCUGGCUUCCUUUUAGAAAGGAGACAAGGAGAGGAUGCUAUUUUAGAUGGUUAAGGUGUAGACGAUUCUGGCUUCCUUUUAGAAAGGAGACAAGGAGAGGAUGCUAUUUUAGAUGGUUAAGGUGUAGACGAUUCUGGCUUCCUUUUAGAAAGGAGACAAGGAGAGGAUGCUAUUUUAGAUGGUUAAGGUGUAGACGAUUCUGGCUUCCUUUUAGAAAGGAGACAAGGAGAGGAUGCUAUUUCAGGUGGUUAAGGUGUAGCCCCUGGACCCUACAGUCCUUCCACUCAUCCCUUCAAUGUGAGGAGUUUCUCCUUUUCUCUCAAAUUGCUACAGCGAAUAACCUCACCGAGGGACGCGGUUUCUCUCUCUUCCUCUCCUCGUGAUGACUUCACACACUGAUGCUCUCUCUCCCUCUCUCCUUCUAUCCUUCUCCCUCACAUACAAACACACACAUAGAAACAUACAUCAUGUUUUCAGAGAUGCAUAAUAUCUCCAAAAAGAAGGCUUCUGGUUUCCCCCCCCCCCAAAAAAAUAACAAAUUAGCAUUUAGCUGUUUUUAUUCCAUGCAGAAGAAGAGUUCAGGCUCUUUUUUUGUCCCGAAAAUGUUGGUUUGUUCUAUGUAGGUUUGUUCUAUGUAGGUUUGUUCUAUGUUGGUUUGUUCUAUGUUGGUUUGUUCUAUGUAGGUUUGUUCUAUGUAGGUUUGUUCUAUGUUGGUUUGUUCUAUGUUGGUUUGUUCUAUGUUGGUUUGUUCUAUGUUGGUUUGUUCUAUGUUGGUUUGUUCUAUGUACUGUUAGAGGAAUAGUUUAAACAUCCCUUUAAUGUAUGUUGGUUUGUUCUAUGUUGGUUUGUUCUAUGUUGGUUUGUUCUAUGUACUGUUAGAGGAAUAACCAAAACAUCCCUUUAAUGUAGAGCCCCUAUAUAGACCAAAACAUCCCUUUAAUGUAGAGCCCCUAUAUAGACCAAAACAUCCCUUUA
ensembl:lncRNA